CCUACGGGUGGCUGCAGUGAGGAAUAUUGGUCAAUGGGCGUAAGCCUGAACCAGCCAAGUCGCGUGAGGGAUGAAUGUUCUAUGGAUUGUAAACUUCUUUUAUAAGGGAAUAAAGUGUGGGACGUGUCCUAUUUUGUAUGUACCUUAUGAAUAAGGAUCGGCUAACUCCGUGCCAGCAGCCGCGGUAAUACGGAGGAUCCGAGCGUUAUCCGGCUUUAUUGGGUUUAAAGGGAGCGUAGGUGGCUUGUUAAGUCAGUUGUGAAAGUUUGCGGCUCAACCGUAGAAUUGCAUUUGAUACUGGGAGGCUUGAGUAUGGUUGAGGCAGGCGGAAUGCGUGGUGUAGCGGUGAAAUGCUUAGAUAUCACGCAGAACCCCGAUGGCGAAGGCAGCCUGCCAAGCCAUGACUGACGCUGAUGCACGAAAGCGUGGGGAUCAAACAGGAUUAGAUACCCGUGUAGUC
rnacentral:rRNA from 1 species